UACGAAGGGGGCUAGCGUUGCUCGGAAUCACUGGGCGUAAAGCGCACGUAGGCGGAUUGUUAAGUCAGGGGUGAAAUCCUGGAGCUCAACUCCAGAACUGCCUUUGAUACUGGCGAUCUCGAGUCCGGGGAGAGGUGAGUGGAACUGCGAGUGUAGAGGUGAAAUUCGUAGAUAUUCGCAAAGAACACCAGUGGCGAAGGCGGCCUGCUGGGCAGUUGCUGACACUGAGGCGCGACAGCGUGGGGAGCAACAGG
rnacentral:rRNA from 1 species